rnacentral:rRNA from 1 species
UACAGGGGGUGCAAGCGUUGUUCGGAAUUACUGGGCGUAAAGGGCUCGUAGGCGGUUUGUCGCGUCGGGAGUGAAAUCCACUGGCUUAACUGGUGGCUUGCUUUCGAUACGGGCAGACUGGAGGUAUGCAGGGGAGAACGGAAUUCCUGGUGUAGCGGUGAAAUGCGCAGAUAUCAGGAGGAACACCGGUGGCGAAGGCGGUUCUCUGGACAUGUCCUGAUGCUGAGGAGCGAAAGUGUGGGGAGCGAACAGG